ensembl:snRNA U2 U2 spliceosomal RNA
AGCGCUCCUUGACCUUUCGGCUAAGAUCAAGUGUAGUAUCUGUUCUUAUCAGAAACUAUACAAAUGUUUUGGUUGAGUAACAUGAUUUGUUACAUACAUUUUAGAAAGAAAAUAUUU